rnacentral:rRNA from 1 species
AGAGCGAACGCUGGCGGCAGGCCUAAUACAUGCAAGUCGAACGGAUCCUUCGGGAUUAGUGGCGGACGGGUGAGUAACACGUGGGAACGUGCCCUUUGGUUCGGAACAACUCAGGGAAACUUGAGCUAAUACCGAAUGUGCCCUUCGGGGGAAAGAUUUAUCGCCAUUGGAGCGGCCCGCGUCUGAUUAGCUAGUUGGUAGGGUAAAGGCCUACCAAGGCUACGAUCAGUAGCUGGUCUGAGAGGAUGAUCAGCCACACUGGGACUGAGACACGGCCCAGACUCCUACGGGAGGCAGCAGUAGGGAAUCUUGCGCAAUGGGCGAAAGCCUGACGCAGCCAUGCCGCGUGAAUGAUGAAGGUCUUAGGAUUGUAAAAUUCUUUCAGCGGGGACGAUAAUGACGGUACCCGCAGAAGAACGCCCCGGCUAACUUCGUGCCAGCAGCCGC